rnacentral:misc_RNA from 1 species
GGAGACUCCAGAGAGAUCAUCCGCACCCGGAAUGUCAAACCGUGUGGCAGAAACACCUGCCUCGAUGUCAUUGAAAUUGUUAAUUUGUGGAGAGAGCUCGCCAAUCAUAUUCGUACUGUUAUCUUCAGGAUCAACUUCAAUGACAGCUUCUUGUAGCUGAAGUGCAUACUCCAAAUUCCAUAACACGUCUCCCAUAGAUGG